rnacentral:misc_RNA from 1 species
UGGUUCUGGCAUCGAUGAAGAACGCAGCGAAAUGCGAUAAGUAAUGUGAAUUGCAGAAUUCAGUGAAUCAUCGAAUCUUUGAACGCACAUUGCGCCCGCUAGUACUCUAACGGGCAUGCCUGUUCGAGCGUCAUUUCAACCCUCAAGCUCUGCUUGGUGUUGGGGCAUUACAGCUUCGCUGUACUCCCUGAAAUGUAGUGGCAGAUCGGCUAUAAUUCCGAGCGUAGUAAUUUUAUCUCGUUUAGGACAUUACAGAAGACUCUCGCCGUAAACCCCAAAAUUUUAUUAGGUUGACCUCGGAUCAGGUAGGAAUACCCGCUGA